rnacentral:rRNA from 1 species
AAUGAACGCUGGCGGCAGGCCUAACACAUGCAAGUCGAACGGAUCCUUCGGGAUUAGUGGCGGACGGGCGAGUAACGCGUGGGAACAUACCCUUUGGUACGGAAUAGCCUCGGGAAACUGGGAGUAAUACCGUAUGUGGUCGAGAGACGAAAGAUUUAUCGCCAAAGGAUUGGCCCGCGUUGGAUUAGGUAGUUGGUGGGGUAAUGGCUUACCAAGCCGACGAUCCAUAGCUGGUUUGAGAGGAUGAUCAGCCACACUGGGACUGAGACACGGCCCAGACUCCUACGGGAGGCAGCAGUGGGGAAGAUUAGACAAUGGGGGAAACCCUAAUCUAGCCAUGCCGCGUGAUCGAUGAAGGCCUUAGGGUUGUAAAGAUCUUUCAGGUGGGAAGAUAAUGACUGUACCACCAGAAGAAGCCCCGGCUAACUCCGUGCCAGCCGCCGCCGUAA